rnacentral:rRNA from 1 species
GACGGAGGAUGCAAGCGUUAUCCGGAAUGAUUGGGCGUAAAGCGUCCGCAGGUGGCAGUUCAAGUCUGCUGUCAAAGACCGGGGCUUAACUUCGGAAAGGCAGUGGAAACUGAACAGCUAGAGUAUGGUAGGGGCAGAGGGAAUUCCUGGUGGUAGCGGUGAAAUGCGUAGAGAUCAGGAAGAACAUCGGUGGCGAAGGCGCUCUGCUGGACCAUAACUGACACUCAGGGACGAAAGCUAGGGGAGCGAAUGG